AGGAAAGAAGCACCCUGUGAGGAAGAAGGAACGCAGCAGACUCAGCAGCAGCAAAUAGAUCAUGAUGCGAUACAAAGAGGAAAAAGAGGCAAAGAAGGAAGCUUUCAGGAAGUAUCUUGAAUCUAGUGGAGUUCUUGAUUCUCUCACCAAAGUUCUGGUUGCAUUGUAUGAGCAAAAUGAGAAACCUUCCUCUGCCCUUGAAUUUAUUCAACAAAAACUAGGCGGCCCAAGUUUGUCCGAGUAUGAAAAGCUGCAAGCUGAAAUGUCUGAUUUGCAAAUAAAGUAUAAUGAUCUUUUGUCAGCACACCAGGAAACUUGCAAAGAGUUGGAGGAACUUAAGAACUUGCAUAGUUUCACGUCUACUGAAGAAAUGACCAAUGGGGAGGCACC
rnacentral:misc_RNA from 1 species